AUAGAAUAUUUGCCCUUUUGAGCACUUGGUAGUUUUAGUGAUUAUUAUAAAACUGAAUGUUCAGAAGAGUAGAAAUGAAGAUUAUCAGGCAAUGCACCUCAGGAAUCUAAAGGAAUAUGCUUCAUUAGACAAGUGGGCACAAGGAAUGCUCUUGUUAAUUUUGAAAAAAGAGAACUCUUUCUAGAGACAUAAAAAUCUCACCCACUAGUGUUUAACAGAGACUAGUUCACAUUUCUGAUAGGGUCAGUGCACAGCGAUCAUUCUACCUUCUAGAACAAGAGACUUCAGAUUGUGUUUAUAUUUCUGGCUGGUGGAGGUGCUGAUUAUUUCUAGAAUUGUGAUGUGAAGAUUUUUAUUGGGCCCAGAUUCCAAAUGACUAUGAAAAAACUCAGCUAAUCAUAGUUGGCAAUGAAGAGAUGAAAGAUCACAGAUACAUUUUCUUUAUCUUAGACACGGGCAUUACAGCACUCAGAUUGCUCUUGACAAAUGUGCUUUUGGUGAAAACUGUCAAUUAUGGUCAUAAACUGGAUGACUGGAAGCUGAGAGAAUAUAGAUAUGACCUUUGUAAUUCUAAUUAUCCUUGCUGUGCAAAACAACCAGAAGACAGAAGAAGUGACUUAACUAGGACAUAAUUUCCAUGAUUACAGUACUGACUACGUAUUGUUGGUAUUUACGCCGCUUUGAUCUGGUGAUUGUGGCAUGUACCGGAUGUCCUAGUUAAAUAGAGAUAUUAGCAUUUUAUCCUAUUCAGAAUUUGUUGACCACUUACCAAUAAGACUUCGGUUUUUUUCCUCAUCAAGUCAGUUUAAGAGGAGAGAUACAGUUUACCGCUUGAAUGAUUAAAUCCAAGUGUGCUCCUCCUUUUUCUAGAGAUAGAUAUUGAUUGCUUUAAAAAUGAAAGAGAAGAUGGAAAAAGGAAGAAGAAUACAAUGUGUGCCCCAAUGAAGGGCUGUGAUUCUCUGCUGUGACAAGGAAGUGGCACAGUUCACCACAUUAAGAUUUCAAGAUUGGAAAUGGAGAACUCCUAACCAAGGCAUCUUUGGACAUCGUGGCUCAAGCCUGUUUGACCAGCAACUGUUACCGUAAGCCCUGGGCCGUUGCCAGAAGUCAUGGAACUUUGCAGAAGACCACUUCUUUUCCAGUCAACUAACCUUCAGGGCAAGAUCACCUGUACCUGUUGGCACUUAAUAGUUACUGAGUGAAUUAAUACUAGUGUACAUGUACGUGCGUGUGGGUAUGUGUACCUGUGCACACGUGCUUACUAUACAGCAUUUCCCAAUUUGUGACCCUCAUUUAGGACAUUUAAAACAAGGAGGAGCAAUAUUGGGAGUGGGGAGCUCCUUGGGGUUCAUAACAAGGAUCUCCUGGGGUUCUAUUUAAUUUGCAGGGAAGGCAUUGGAUAUAGGUACCCUCUUAAGCAAGUAUAGUAAAAUAUUUUCCCUUAUGCCAACAUAGAGACUGGUUUGUGUAAUGUAAAAACUAUUAGUAUCCUUGAAGUGUGUAUUACUAUCCUCCCAAGUUUGACACUGGAGUAAUAAUUAAUUACUACAGAGAAGGAAUAAAAAUUUAUAUCAUUGUUUGAAA